CCGAGUUAUCUCGACUCCCAAACCCCUGUGAACCUUUACCUGAACGUUGCUUCGGCGGGACCGCCCCGGCGCCCCGGAACCCCCCGUCCUCGGGGGGAACCCGCGGCCCGGAACCAGGCGCCCGCCGGGGGACCCAAACUCUUGCUUCUGCUCCAGUGGAAUCCUCUGAGUGUCGUGGGAUAAAUGAAUCA
rnacentral:misc_RNA from 1 species